UAAAGGAAAGAUUUCUUUCUGCUGGUGACAUUCCAAAUGAGGAUGUUUCAAGACUUGGUGCGUUGUAUUUCAUUACUUUGUUUUAGUAGAGGAUUUUAAUCUGAUGGACUCGUUCCCAUGGGGUAAGUCACUCUUUGAGACACUAAUUAGUUCAUUGAGGGAGGGUUUGAGCAAGAGAACGACCCAUUAUAGACUACGAGAUCUUCUAAUAGCAUUUUAAGUAUGGAUUUACGAGACAAUCCCUACCCUCGAUGGAUAUGUAGCAACAAGGACCUCAAGAUCGUAUUCCCGAAUAAUGAAUUGGACGGCAGAUGAUCACCCACCUGCUGCUAAGCUUGACGGACCUGAUUGCUUCUGUAAUCCCAAAGUAAUUAUCUUAACACCAUUUACUAUACGUCAAUGUAUCUCAAAUGUGCUUAUCCUUAAGUCACAAGUCGUAACACAGAACUUAAAUAGUUGUGUAUCUAAGUCAGAUAUUAUACAUAUCAAGUCACAACAUAUGUUCAUUGACUCACAAUUAAUAAUAUACAGGUCACAGAACAUACUCAUGACAUGCAUCACACGGUUAUGACCGUACAUAUACCCAGUUACUGUUACAGCUCAUUGCUUGGGUUUAUUAUUUUGUAUAUCGAUGUAGUGUGCUGACAUUACAAUGUCUUUGUGCUUGGAAUGGCAGAUAGAAAUACGUGACCUGGACCCUUCAGACAUGAAAAUGGCAAUGCCGUACAUGUAUGAAGUACAAUAUAUCAAGCCUGUCCAACUGGAACGUGCACGUGGGGAGGGGAGAAGAGAAAGGGAGGUAUGGUGGACAAAUCAGUUCAUUCCAUCAGGACAACUGGGAAGCCGAGUUACUCGAGUAAAAAAACAUCUACGCCACUGCUUAUGAUUACGGAUGGUAGACUUGGUCACUCUGAUGUGCCUCUUGACGAUCGUGAUGACGAUUUUGUUGACACCCUACCCAGAUGGUAGGGAAAAACGUUCAAUGCCAAUUUGCCUAGUAGGGAGGAUCAGCCGGCGCCAAACGAUAUAAGUUGUUAAAUAAUGUCAGCUGUGGGUCACGGGUCACAUUUUCUAGCUAACGGUUUUUCUGUCAAUUCAUUACGGGUCACAGGUUAUUCCACCUUUUGCUGUGUUCAUGAGUCGUCGUGUGCACACAUCACAUGUAUUAGAAACAUGUCAUAGAACGGGUCACAUGUCACAGGUUAUGACACAUUCAGUUAUUAUUCUUGGUGCAACAUCGUAGUUCGUUUCUAUGUCAUAGUUUAUAGGUCAUUGAUCUGUUAGUUCAUUAUGGGUCGCAGGCAUCUGGACUAUAGAUGUUUUCACCAUUUUAUUGCCACUGAUAAUGGGUAGUCAUGUGGUGUAGGUGGUUGAUGAAAUGCGAAAAUAGUUUUUCAAACAAUUAACUGAACUCCAAACUGAGAAUCGUCGGAUGAGUGUGGUAAUCGAUGCGAUGAAGUCAGAGAUAUUGUCGCUCAAGCAUGAUCAGCAAAACAAAUUGAACAAUAUUAUCCACAUGCAAGGUGAAAUCCAUACAGAUUUGAUUGACAUCAGAUCGAACUUACAGUUUAUGACCGAAUCUAUGACCGCCUUGAUUUCUAGUUCCAUGGAAAAAAUCUUGACCAAAUUCAGAGAUAAAUCUGGGUUAAACAUUGUCAGAGAUUAUGAACCUUUGGAUAAGGUAAUCAACAUACCAUGUGAUCUCAUAAAAUGAUAUAUGUUCAUUUGUCUAUGAACUUUGACUAUGAUUAUACAUUUUAUGUUACAGGUUGGAGAUGCUGAAAUAACAGUUGAUUCUAAAGGCAAGGGUAAGAUGGAAACCGACGUUGACGUUGAAUUUCCAUAUAGCCUACAACCUCCAUCCUUCAAUCUGGGUAUUUGUUUCACGCAACCAACACCCAUAGAACCAAGGAAAUCAAAAAAGGUGGAAACGUAUGUUGCGUUUGUCGUAUAUGAUGUUCUGAAGGACACGAAAUUUGCUGAGAAGGUGGUAAGCCCAGAUAAUUCUGUCAGCUAUGUAAACUACUGUGCGUUGCAUGUUUCAGCAAGUCAUAGUCCAUAUUAAAUUAACAUGCAGGAGUCUCCUAUUUCUGCGCAAAGUUCUGGAUUGCCUGUUAAGAGGGCUCCUAAGCCGGCUAAAGCACUUCAAUCUACGUAUGUUCAUGAAGGGAAGCAAAACAAGCAUUCUAAUAAUGUCGUAAUCUUCCAACACUACAAUCAGUCUGUGGACCAUGCCGAUAUUGCUGACUUUCAGAGUUGGUUCCAGAGAGGAUAUAAGCCACAUAACAAGAAAAAGUUUAAUGACCGAGAUGAUUGUAUUCGUCCACCUUUUCUUGUUGGUCAGUUCCUCAUCGGAAAUAAAACAUGGUGGUAUGGACUUGUGUCUAGGGAUGUGUCAAUGAGUAGUUCGGUAUGUAUCCUUUUGUAAGUCUCAAUUCAUAUGCGUAGGUCAUAGAUUCCAUGGUCAUGGUCAUAGCCAAGUAACUAUAUGUCACUGCCUGCGUCCUUCUUACAUUCCAGCAUUUAUAAAGUUAAUAAUGCGAUACACGUGUUUCAUAUGUCCCAAUGCAGGUCACAUUUUUGUAUACAUAACAUGUCACAUGUAAUGGUCACAGGCCAUUUGAGGUUGGUCGCAGAUAAAGGAGAAAAGGUCACAGUUUAUUUACAGAGUGCACUCCAGCAUAUUUUCUGGUCACAUUUCACCCUGCACAAUUUAGAAGAUGGUGGUACGAAGUUGUGUCUAGGUAUGGGUCACUGAGUUGUUCGGUGUGCAUCUAUUUGUAAGUCUCAAUUCAUAUGAGUAUGUCAUACAUUCCAUGGUCAUGGUCACAGCCAAUUUAUAAAGUUCGCAAUGCCAUAUGCAUGGUUUGUAUGUCCCAAUGCAGGUCACAUUUUGGUAUGCAUAACAGGUCACAUGUAAUGAUUACAGACCAUUUGCGGUUGGUCACAGAUAAUGGUGAAUAGGUCACAGUCAUUUACAGAGUGCACUCAAGCAUAUUUUCUGGUCACAGUUCACCCUGCACAAUUUAUAAGUCAAUUCAAUCUCACAGUUUUCCAUUUUUUUAGCAUAUGGAUGUGUGCUUCUACUACAUACGUAAGUUACCAAGUAAUGGCAAAAACAUUAAAGUCAUCGCCAGCACGACCGACACGUUGUUUCAAGCUAAGCUGAAAAACAUGUACCACAAGUUCAAGUAAGAUCCAGAGGUAAUUGUCACGGAUGAGAGACUCAUUGACGACAUCACAGGUGCACGAAUUCCAUUGAGCAAACCUUGGGCAGAAGUGGACCUUGUGUUCAUGCCCAUUCUGCCUACAAACAAAACACAUUAGAUACUUGCAGUGCUUGAUAUCAAAAAGCAGACCUUACUUGUAUUAAAUUCGGCAAGGGAAACAUACAAUGACAUCAAGAUCCUUAUUGGAAUUGAUCCUUUCGUUAAAAUGAUCCCUCACCUCAUGGACCGUAUUGGAAUUUGGAGAAAGAAUUCAGAUCCAUCUGCUGACGAUUCCAAGGACUUGAAGGUGGUGCUUAAUUCCUCCGUCCUGCAACAGAAUAAUGGGCAUAACUGUGGCAUAUAUGUGAUUAAAUAUGCCGAGUACAUGCUUCUUGACGAUUUAGGAUCGAUGCCGAUGAAAUUCGAUGCGGUUGGAGCACGUCUGGAUGUUGCAUCAUUGUUAUUCAAGCACCGUGAAAUCAGUACAGAGAGGAAGACGUUGCUGCCAACCGGUGGAGAUAGUAUAGUUAUUGAGUGAUAUUAGAGGUGUAGUUUGAAAAUACAGUAGAAUGGAAUGUGAAGUGUGGUUAUGGAUAAUUUUUUUGUUUGCUUUGAACAAGGGUGUUGUGUUAUGGGGAUACUCUUUUG